rnacentral:tRNA from 1 species
ACUUUAGCUCAGUCGGUAGAGCAGCUGUUUCGUAAACAGUUGGUCGCAGGUUCGAUUCCUGUAAGUGG